ACGUAGGGGGCAAGCGUUAUCCGGAUUUACUGGGUGUAAAGGGAGCGUAGACGGACGGGCAAGUCUGAAGUGAAAGGCAGGGGCUCAACCCCUGGACUGCUUUGGAAACUGUCCAUCUAGAGUGCCGGAGAGGUAAGCGGAAUUCCUAGUGUAGCGGUGAAAUGCGUAGAUAUUAGGAGGAACACCAGUGGCGAAGGCGGCUUACUGGACGGUAACUGACGUUGAGGCUCGAAAGCGUGGGGAGCAAACAG
rnacentral:rRNA from 1 species